UACGAAGGGGGCUAGCGUUGCUCGGAAUGACUGGGCGUAAAGGGCGCGUAGGCGGAUGGCACAGUCAGAUGUGAAAUUCCUGGGCUUAACCUGGGGGCUGCAUUUGAUACGUGUGAUCUAGAGUGAGGAAGAGGGUUGUGGAAUUCCCAGUGUAGAGGUGAAAUUCGUAGAUAUUGGGAAGAACACCGGUGGCGAAGGCGG
rnacentral:rRNA from 1 species